GCCGAGAGUAACGACCGAUCCUGACGCCGCGGGGUCCCUGCCCCAGGGGGCCCCCAACUUCCUCGCGCGCCACAGUCGCCAGGUUGAGGCUUCUUAGUACGCAGACUGCGGGCCCACCCCGGCGUUUGAUUCGGGAGGUCGGAGAGGGGCCUGAGAGCGAGCAUUUCUGAGUUCCCGGAUGGGUCCCUGACGUGCCUCGGGGUGCACACUGCGCUGUCCGCUCUGCCCUGCUCGUCCAGCCUCAGCUGUUUCUGUUCGCUCCUUUCCCCUCCAAGCUCAGGGGCUCCCUGCCCAUCUUUGAACCCUCGCUCCAGCCUCGGGACCUUUGGCUUUUCCCUCUGCCAGCGUCCACUUGCCACCGCCCUCACCCGUUUUUCUCUUGAUUCAGAUUCACAAUCCUAGGGAGGCCGACCCUGGCUGGCCCGUGGUAAUACUGCAGCCCCUCCACCCUCAGUCUCCCUCCUGUCUGCUUUAUUUUUCCUAGAAUUUGCUAAUUCCAACACAACACCAGUACCUGUACUAUGUGUGUGGAUAGCUGUCUCUCUAGACAGGGAUUAUUGCAAAGCCAUGAGCUGAGUUGGUCCUGUGCAAUGCCUGACCUCUGCCACCUACGUUUUGGUGAGCGCCCUCUGUGACGAUCAUAUAAGGACAACGUCACUGGACUUGGAUUUUCUUCUCAGCAUUAUCGCUGUCUUGCAACUGUAAUCAUCUGAGCAAUGCAGCUUUAGAUCAUGAAAAGACGUCCGAGGACCAUAAAACAGGAUGUGCUGGAGGCUGUGGUGAGUGUGAAAAGACAAGUUUUUGGCUAAAGGACGGACUAAUGAUGAUCAGACAGACGAAUGAAUGCACAUUGCAGAGUUGUCAACAAGAGAACCGGAGAGUUCACAAGAGAGCCCAGAGAAGAGCCCACUCACUUCUUCUCUCCUGAGCAAUGUGAGUCCUGACAAA